UACGAAGGGGGCUAGCGUUGCUCGGAAUCACUGGGCGUAAAGCGCACGUAGGCGGCUUGUUAAGUCAGGGGUGAAAUCCUGGAGCUCAACUCCAGAACUGCCUUUGAUACUGGCGAGCUUGAGUUCGGGAGAGGUGAGUGGAACUGCGAGUGUAGAGGUGAAAUUCGUAGAUAUUCGCAAGAACACCAGUGGCGAAGGCGGCUCACUGGCCCGGUACUGACGCUGAGGUGCGAAAGCGUGGGAGCAACAGGG
rnacentral:rRNA from 1 species